rnacentral:rRNA from 1 species
GACGAACGCUGGCGGCGUGCCUAAUACAUGCAAGUCGAACGAGAGCGACCGGUGCUUGCACUGGUCAAUCUAGUGGCGAACGGGUGAGUAACACGUGGGUAACCUGCCCAUCAGAGGGGGAUAACAUCCGGAAACGGAUGCUAAAACCGCAUAGGUCUUCGAGUCGCAUGGCUUGAAGAGGAAAAGAGGCGCAAGCUUCUGCUGAUGGAUGGACCCGCGGUGCAUUAGCUAGUUGGUGAGGUAACGGCUCACCAAGGCCGUGAUGCAUAGCCGACCUGAGAGGGUGAUCGGCCACAUUGGGACUGAGACACGGCCCAAACUCCUACGGGAGGCAGCAGUAGGGAAUCUUCCGCAAUGGAUGCAAGUCUGACGGAGCAACGCCGCGUGAGUGAAGAAGGUUUUCGGAUCGUAAAACUCUGUUGUUAGAGAAGAACAAGUGCUAGAGUAACUGUUAGCGCCUUGACGGUAUCUAACCAGAAAGCCACGGCUAACUACGUG